rnacentral:lncRNA from 1 species
AUGAAAAAGACCCUCUCAGACUUUGCCCAUAGAAUUCCCUUUCCUAGCUAGAGCUUCAAGUAGGAAGAAACUAAUGACUUCAUUACCAUCUCAAUUCUGGGAAAUGCUUGGUCCAGACCUGAAUCAUUAAAGGAAAGUUUCCUUCCUUUGUUAUUCUCUGACACAAUAUUUGAAGACAUGGAAGCAGUGAGGAAGGGACAACAACCUCUGGUCCAAGGCUUCAGUGUGAUGCCAUAUGCUGUGCAGGGGGAUGUUUCCUUCCUCUUCAUGGAGUGUAAACUCAUCAAAACAGUAAGUACAGCAUACUAUCAACUCUCAGCUUUUGAAGUUUCUGACUGGGUCUGUGGCUUUAAGACAGUUUUUUUUUAGUACAUUGUCAAACAGUAUAUAGAAUAAGUAUGUUUGAAAGAGAUUUAAAAAAAACUGUUCAUGGUGGUAGAUGGAAAUUUUUUCUUUAGUGAUUUAGCAUUUGCUUCCUGAAAUUCUGUUUCUGCAUGUAAGAUUUUUUUUUUUUUCCCCUAAAAUCUUUCUGAUCUGUGAACAUCCAGAGCAUGGACAGUACCCUGUAAGAAACUGGGUUGAACUGAAUGCCAUCACUGCUUCUGGAAUCAUAGCUACUCCUCUUAGCUGUUGGUAAUGGCAAAUAUUUCCAACAAAAAAUACCUGAAGCACAAGUUAGAUUACCCCAGCAACUGGAAGGUGAGCAGUGUAUCAGACAGAUGUUGUCUGUUUCCUGAGUGCAGUUAGUGUUUCUCAGCUGCUUGUGGAUAUUUUACUGUUACAGUCAACUCUUUCUAAAACUGAGUCCCAGUGUAAAAGCGCAUGAAAAACAUUGUUGCUCUUUAUAAUACAUGAACAUUUAGAAAGGUCUGCCUCCCCCCCCCCCCCCCCUCCACACACACACACAUUUUUUUGGUAAUUGAUUGUGAUUAAUAACCUCAAUAGUGAGAAGAUUUUUAUCCUUAAAGAGUAAAUGGAGGCAUAAAUGAUUUUAGGGAGGUCCAAAUCCUGGUAUAUUUUUUCAGGCAUAUUUGUCAUCAAAGCCUGAGUAAAGCAGUAGAGCAGAAAGUGACCAUUCAAAUGAUUUGAGUUUUGGAAAAGGCUUUGACUGUUUUAGCAUUAUAUCACCUUAUGCCACUGUCAUUGGUGUUUAAUACCAUUCACUCACUGGUGCUGGCUAUGACCUGGUUGGCCCAGACAAUGGCUAUCACCCUGAGCUUGACAGAUCAUUAGAGGGAGGAAAAGUUUUUGUAAGAUUAGUCAAUACAUUUUCCCAGGACUAAGAUAAAGAUCCAAGAGUUUCUAGUAGACAGGCUGCCAAAGCUCAAAGUGAUACAACUUUCCUUUGUUUUACUUGUCUCUUUUGCUCUUUAGGUUUCAUUGACAUAUCUCUGUCAGCCUGUUUACAAUUUGUUAUUAAAGUUACUCUUCGAACACAAUAUUUCAUGGGCUAUGUAGCCAAUUUGGAGAUUAGGAUUGCAAGGACUGCAUCAUGUUAAUAAAUUAGCUAUAAAAAAUGAUGUUUUUAUUUUU